ACCAAAUCAUGUGACCUUCGGAUGAAGCUCAUCUAAAACUUAAUUGAUGACUCCGGAGGAGGGACUCCUUUACGCCAACUGCAUGGAACCACCUGCAGGUUUGUUCAACAUUCACAGUAUUGCUCGCUACCUUCUGGCAUGGACUUCUCACCGGUUGCCCACUACGGACUGCAGUCGGAUCUCACAUAGGAUCGCUAUCUAUAGCUUCUGGACAAGUAUUCGUCAUUUGUGACAGAAUGUAUACGGGACGAGACACUCGUGUGGCGGACGGCUUCACCCGACCAUGGAGAGACCCAAAUGAUUGGUUGCCUCACCCACCAGGGUCUCG